GAUGAACGCUGGCGGCGUGCCUAAUACAUGCAAGUCGAACGAAACUUCUUUAUCACCGAGUGCUUGCACUCACCGAUAAAGAGUUGAGUGUCGAACGGGUGAGUAACACGGGGGCAACCUGCCCAAAAGAGGGGGAUAACACUUGGAAACAGGUGCUAAUACCGCAUAACCAUAGUUACCGCAUGGUAACUAUGUAAAAGGUGGCUAUACUACCGCUUUUGGAUGGGCCCGCGGCGCAUUAGCUAGUUGGUAGGGUAAAGGCUUACCAAGGCAAUGAUGCGUAGCCGAAUUGAGAGGUUGAUCGGCCACAUUGGGACUGAGACACGGCCCAAACUCCUACGGGAGGCAGCAGUAGGGAAUCUUCCACAAUGGGCGAAAGCCUGAUGGAGCAACGCCGCGUGGGUGAAGAAGGUCUUCGGAUCGUAAAACCCUGUUGUUAGAGAAGAAAGUGCGUGAGAGUAACUGUUCACGUUUCGACGGUAUCUAACCAGAAAGCCACGGCUAACUACGUG
rnacentral:rRNA from 1 species